rnacentral:rRNA from 1 species
UACGGAGGGUGCAAACGUUGCUCGGAAUCAUUGGGCGUAAAGCGCACGUAGGCGGCCUGAUAAGUCGGAUGUGAAAUCCCUCGGCUCAACCGAGGAAGUGCAUUCGAAACUGCCAGGCUUGAAUAUGGAAGAGGGUCGCGGAAUUCCCGGUGUAGAGGUGAAAUUCGUAGAUAUCGGGAGGAACACCAGUGGCGAAGGCGGCGACCUGGGCCAAUAUUGACGCUGAGGUGCGAAAGCGUGGGGAGCAAACAGG